rnacentral:rRNA from 1 species
UACGUAGGGGGCAAGCGUUGUCCGGAAUCAUUGGGCGUAAAGAGCGUGUAGGCGGCUCGAUAAGUCCGCUGUGAAAGUCCAGGGCUCAACCCUGGAAGGCCGGUGGAAACUGUCGGGCUAGAGUCCGGAAGAGGCGAGUGGAAUUCCCGGUGUAGCGGUGAAAUGCGCAGAUAUCGGGAGGAACACCAAUGGCGAAGGCAGCUCGCUGGGACGGUACUGACGCUGAGACGCGAAAGCGUAGGGAGCAAACAGG